rnacentral:lncRNA from 1 species
CUCCAGAACCCGCGUCUAUUUGGACCGGCACUGUACCUGGGAGAGAACCUGAACAACAGGCUCAAGUGGACGGUGGACAGUGGACAGCGAGCACUGAGGUCCGGCACAAGAAAGGACAAAGUUGUCUUUACCUUCCGAGGGUGCUCAGGUCCUUCGGAUAGUUCAGCUCGUAGCUGCAGAUGUUCCACCAGUCGGAUCUUUUUUGCAGAAGAAUCCUGUGAGAGUACCUUUACCACAAGAGAUCAGGAAAGUUCCAUCCUCAAAGUGAGGCUGGACCCCUCUGGUGGAAGUCACACUAAUGGACCCUGGUCCAUUCUGGACAACGAUUCACACCCUCUGCACGCCACCUUGGCCGAACAAAGAACCUUCAGCAUCAGGCUGGUCUAGUUGCGGUGUUCCAAAGAGUGCUAUGGGAGGUCAGUUCUACCAGGAGCCAUAAGGGGUUGAUCUUUUAAUGACCAAGUAGCACCAAGCUUGCUCUGGACCAUCUCGCUUCAUCCUGCCCUCUCUUGUGCAAAUGUACUUUCUGAAUAUAUUUUUAUUGAUUACCAUAUGAUCCAUCUACUUAUUUCUUUCUGUUUUGCCACUAUAUACUUAUGUUGUGUGUGUGCGUACAGUAUGUUGUAUAUUGUGUGCUGCUGUAACCCAGUGGAAUUUCCUCCUGGGAUUAAAAGCAUUUAAUUAAUUAAUUCACACACACAGAGAGUCUUAACCGCUUGUCCCAUAUGGGGUCACGGGGAGCCAGAGCCUAACCCGGCAACACAGGGCAUAAGGCUGGAGGGGGAGGGGACACACCCAGGAUGGGACACCUGUCCAUCACAAGGCACCCCAAGGGGACUCGAACCGCAGACCCGCCGGAGAGCCGGACCCAGCCAAGCCAUCGCCCCCCGCCCCCCCCCCUUGAUUAAUUCAUUAAUUCUUAAUAAUACCCAUGCUGUUAUUCUGCUUUACUGUUGUUGCUGUAAAGUUCAAAUCUGAUGACUGAUUUGACCAGAAAAAUUCCAUCAGCUGCAGAGCGCAACAUCAACGCGGGCUGGUAAUACCGAAAGCCGACUACGUUUCUCAGAUCAGCGUUUGUUGUGUUGAAUAUAUCAUGAAGAACAAGAAACCUGCUUUGAUUCUGAAAAUGCCUCUUUGUUUUUUGUGUUCAUCAUCUUGUCUGCGACUCCCAAAACGUACAUUUUGAUUAGUCUAUUCUCC